UACGUAGGGUGCAAGCGUUAUCCGGAAUUAUUGGGCGUAAAGAGCUUGUAGGUGGUUUGUCGCGUCUGCUGUGGAAAAUCCGAGGCUCAACCUCGGACUUGCAGUGGGUACGGGCAGACUAGAGUGUGGUAGGGGAGACUGGAAUUCCUGGUGUAGCGGUGGAAUGCGCAGAUAUCAGGAGGAACACCAAUAGGCGAAGGCAGCUCGCUGGGACGUUACUGACACUGGAGGCGCGGAAAAGCGUGGGGGAGCGAAACAGG
rnacentral:rRNA from 1 species